CCUACGGGUGGCUGCAGUGGGGAAUAUUGCACAAUGGGCGCAAGCCUGAUGCAGCCAUGCCGCGUGUGUGAAGAAGGCCUUCGGGUUGUAAAGCACUUUCAGCGGGGAGGAAGGCGGUGAGGUUAAUAACCUCAUCGAUUGACGUUACCCGCAGAAGAAGCACCGGCUAACUCCGUGCCAGCAGCCGCGGUAAUACGGAGGGUGCAAGCGUUAAUCGGAAUUACUGGGCGUAAAGCGCACGCAGGCGGUCUGUCAAGUCGGAUGUGAAAUCCCCGGGCUCAACCUGGGAACUGCAUUCGAAACGGGCAGGCUAGAGUCUUGUAGAGGGGGGUAGAAUUCCAGGUGUAGCGGUGAAAUGCGUAGAGAUAUGGAGGAAUACCGGUGGCGAAGGCGGCCCCCUGGACAAAGACUGACGCUCAGGUGCGAAAGCGUGGGGAGCAAACAGGAGUAGAUACCCUUGUAGUC
rnacentral:rRNA from 1 species